rnacentral:lncRNA from 1 species
CCGGCAGCAAUCUGUUUGAGUUUCCACCAGGUGCCCACGUGUUCACCCUCCAACGUUGAUCCACACGAGGACUCGAUCAACUCUCUAGCACUUAUUAGAAAAUACUCUAUAAUUAAAUUCUGAUUUAUCAAAAUUUAAAUGCAAUUUGGGCAGAACCUCCUUUCUUGGGUUUGCUGUCACACUGUUGGACCUUUUCUUCCCUUUCUUUCUUGCUCCUUGUCUCCUUAAUUUUUAUUCCAAUUCUCUAAGCCUUUUGGAAGAUUUCUUAUCCUUUAUCAGGACCUUAUCUAGGCUAGAGAGAAGGAAUAAAGAAAAUUGGACAAGCAGAGCCUCUUGUAAGAAAGAAAGAAGAUUUCUGAAUACCCGAGACUCCUCGAUGUGCACCCCUAUUUAUAUUGCACGUAAAGGUGCAAUCCAAAACAUCUCAUGCCCUCUUACAAAUUAUCUCAUGCCUCUU